rnacentral:rRNA from 1 species
UACGUAGGGUGCGAGCGUUAAUCGGAAUUACUGGGCGUAAAGCGUGCGCAGGCGGUUUUGUAAGCCAGAUGUGAAAUCCCCGGGCUUAACCUGGGAAUGGCAUUUGGGACUGCAAGGCUUGAGUGCGGCAGAGGAGACUGGAAUUCCUGGUGUAGCAGUGAAAUGCGUAGAUAUCAGGAGGAACACCGGUGGCGAAGGCGGGUCUCUGGGCCGUUACUGACGCUGAGGAGCGAAAGCGUGGGGAGCGAACAGG